GAGUAUUCUGGCCCCACCGAGGUGGGCCAGACUAGAGAUCGAAGUGAGCAUGGACGCUGCCAGGACGUAUUUAACUUGCCGAGGUAAAAAUGUUAAAAUAUAAAAUGCUAAAUUAUACUUCCUUCGUUUCCAAAUAUAAGAUAUUUAAUAUAUUUUUAUGUUUCAAUAUAUAAAAUAUUCUAUAUUUUAAAGUAAUUUUUCACUUUAUUAAAAUAUGUGUAGAAAAUCAUAUUUAAUAGUCUAUUUUGUGAUUGAUCAAAUUAUUUUAAAUUUUAGUUAUAUUUUUUUGAUAAAAUGUAAUUUUUAAUAUUCAUGUUUUUAUGUAAAAAAUCUAAUAUAUAUUUAGAAAAGAAGAGAGUAGUUAAUUAAUAUAUAUACUUAGAAAAACAAUAAAGCAAAGAAAAUAAAAGCGAAGUGUUUGACAAAAAAAAAGAGCAGGACAAAACUUAGGUUCACCCCCUAGGGUGAACCUUUAAAUUCACCCCACCAUUUAUAACCAAUUAAAUUUCCACUUAGAUUAUUAAUUAAAAAACAUUAAAAUAAACAAAAAAUAGUUACAAAAAAUAAAAAUGUUAAUUUUAACGACGCUAACGCUUCCAGCGAAUCCCUAAACCCUAAAUUUUAAAUUCUAAACUCUAUACCCUAAAUUCUAAACCCAAAUUCAAACUCCUAAACCCAAACCUUAUACCCUAAACCCUAAUCCUAGACCCUAAACCCUAAUCCUAGACCCUAAACCCAAACUCUAUACCCUAAACCCUAAUUCUAGACUCUAAACCCAAAUUAUAUACCUUAAACCCAAAAAUAGACUAUAAACCUAAACCCUAUACCCUAAA
rnacentral:lncRNA from 1 species